UGGGGAAUUUUGGACAAUGGGCGAAAGCCUGAUCCAGCAAUGCCGCGUGUGUGAAGAAGGCCUUCGGGUUGUAAAGCACUUUUGUCCGGGAAAGAAAUCCUUGGCUCUAAUACAGUCGGGGGAUGACGGUACCGGAAGAAUAAGCACCGGCUAACUACGUGCCAGCAGCCGCGGUAAUACGUAGGGUGCAAGCGUUAAUCGGAAUUACUGGGCGUAAAGCGUGCGCAGGCGGUUUGCUAAGACCGAUGUGAAAUCCCCGGGCUCAACCUGGGAACUGCAUUGGUGACUGGCAGGCUAGAGUAUGGCAGAGGGGGGUAGAAUUCCACGUGUAGCAGUGAAAUGCGUAGAGAUGUGGAGGAAUACCGAUGGCGAAGGCAGCCCCCUGGGCCAAUACUGACGCUCAUGCACGAAAGCGUGGGGAGCAAACAGGAUUAGAUACCCUGGUAGUCCACGCCCUAAACGAUGUCAACUAGUUGUGGGGAUUCAUUUCCUUAGUAACGUAGCUAACGCGUGAAGUUGACC
rnacentral:rRNA from 1 species